UGCCAGCCGCCGCGGUAAUACGAAGGGGGCUAGCGUUGUUCGGAAUUACUGGGCGUAAAGCGCACGUAGGCGGAUCAGAAAGUUAGGGGUGAAAUCCCGGGGCUCAACCCCGGAACUGCCUCUAAAACUCCUGGUCUUGAGUACGGAAGAGGUGAGUGGAAUUCCCAGUGUAGAGGUGAAAUUCGUAGAUAUUGGGAAGAACACCAGUGGCGAAGGCGGCUCACUGGUCCGUAACUGACGCUGAGGUGCGAAAGCGUGGGGAGCAAACAGGAUUAGAUA
rnacentral:rRNA from 1 species